rnacentral:lncRNA from 1 species
CUAUCAAGAAAAAAAAAAGAAGAAACAAGGAAAUCCUUGGGGGAAACCUGCUCCGCACUAGGGAAGUUUCAUUCCUUAACCUAAUUCUUUGGGGGACAAGGAGGGGGGAUUGAGCAUUUGGUUCGGUUCAAAACUAAACUAAACUGAACAAACUGAAAACUGAAUUUUAUGAAUUUAUGAAAAUCGAACCGAACUAAACCAGAGAGAAAACUGAAUUGAAUCAAAUUGUUCAGUUCUGUUAGUUGGGUUAUAAUUUUAGACCUUAUUUUUUAGUGUUCUAAAAUUCAAAUUGUGUGUUUCAAUCUUGAUUUAAAAGAAAAAAUAAUAAUAAAUUUUAAAUUGAAAACUACAAAAAUGAAAGAAAAAAAAAGAAAAACUUCAAGUUCAUAUACUCAUCAUAUGAAAUCAUCCAAAAACAACUAUUUGGUUCAAUUUAAUUUUGUCAAAAUAUUUUGGCUAAAAAUGAAUGGAAUAACUAAAAUUUUUAAAAUCAAAACUGAACCGAAUCGAAAUUUUAAAUUUAUUUGAUUCAAUCGGUUAUUUCAGUUGGAACCAAAUGCUGCCCAUCCCUAGAUGGGGGAGCUAUCCCGUCUCUCAACCCACCUUAUUGUCAUCCCUAUAAAUAUGCAUGCGUAGCACCUUGUGGUAAAGUUUUGGAAUAGAUUAUACUUCUUUAAUUUAGAAUUAUUUUCGUUGAGACUCAGGAAUGCAUUUCCUUAAUUUGUGAAGGGAGGAUCAAGUGAGCCUUAGGUGGUUCCAUGUUGAGGCCGUAAUCAAAUGUGUUUUACUUCAGUUUUAUACCAAGUUGAAUGCCUUGGUUAUAUUCUCAUAGCAAUAAUGCUUUAUUUUCCAAGCAAACAUGAAUUUAAAUAAACUACCAGUAUUUUGUCCACAUAUAUUGAGAGUAGUGUAGUCUAAAAUCUGCAUGUCAGUAUCAGUUUUGCAUGGGUUAUUACUUGUAAUUUCAAUCAGGCUGUGGUUGUGACAGCUGCUUAGAAGUAAACUUAUGAUACAGCUGCUUAGAAGUAAACUUAUAUCAUAGUACAAAAGCUAUGGUGAUUGAUCACUUUCCAUUUGGAUCUGUUUCCUUUGUUUUAGUUUUAGAAAUUGUUAGCAAAAGCCCAGAAAAGGGAACAGUGGGCCGUGGAUCCAAUUAACUGAAAGUUUAUUAUAGAAAGAGGCUGAGGAAGAAAGAGGAAGGUUCUUCCAAGGAUUAUUCCAGAAUGGACAGCUGGAAUUAGUUAGAAAGAAUCUGCUGCCAAAUGAUUGCAAAUGUUGUGGAUAAAUAAGAAGAGAGGACAAGUUUGUUUUUAUCUUUUCUUCUAUUCUGAUUGGUAAUACAACUUUCUUGCUGUGGGCUAGUAACGGUUGUUAUUAGCAAUCAUUCUGUACUCUUGUUUUCCAAGGAAUGGCUAUGAAUCACCUCUGAGUUUUCUCCUUUCUCUUCCUUUUCCUUCUAGUCUAUAUUUCAGGUUCUUCAUUCUAUCAAUAUUGGUCCAAUCUGCCAUGCUUCUCUCUGUCAUGCCCAAAACCAGGAUGAAAGGGCGUGUAGAACAAAUAGAGAAGAACAUGUCCACCUUGGAGGAGUUGUUAGCUGCCAUGAAAAUCGAACAGGAGCAACGCUUCUCUUCUUUCCAACAAGAACAGAAUCAGAAAUUUUCUCACCUUGAAUCUUUAAUCACUUCCUUUAUUCCUAGUAAAGCUGUGUUUGUCGAAGGCACCGCUUCUUCUCCUGUGACCUCCAUGGGCACGAAUUCACUUCCACGAGUUGUGUCCCAACCAGUCCUUUUGGAUGAUACCUCGAUGGCCAUCAAAAAAUUGAGCUUCCUAAUUUUGGAGGUAUAGAUCCAAUGGGAUGGUUAGCAAGAGCAGAACAGCAUUUUGCAUUGAAUCACACUUGAGAAGAGAUGAAAGUGCAGCUCGCUUUAGUGUGUAUGACAGGAUCAUCUCUUCAUUGGCUGCGCUGGCUUUGCCAGGCUAAUCCCUAUCUUUUAUAGUCUCAGUUUUCUAGAGACUUACUGCAUCGUUAUGGUAGGGAUAUUAAAGCCAAUCCAUAUGAAAAUUAGCUACAAUUCAAUUCAUCAGGGAGUUUCGGUGGAUGAAUAUAUUGAUGCUUUCAUAGAAUUAUUGGCUCAAGUAGAAGGAUUAACUGACCAACAAUCCCCAGGCUUCUUUCUCAGCGGGCUUAGAGAGGAGAUUCGAGUACGUAUUCCAUCUCAUGACACUACUUCUCUGUCUCAUACAAUGAAUCUCGCUCGGGAAAUUGAGCUGGAGAUUCACUUUUUUCGGCCGCUUUCUUCCUGGAAUCGGUCUUCUUCUAAGGACAUAAAAUGGUCCUCUGGAUAUGGACUUCGUUCUGUGCCCAAUUUUCAACCCAAGUUCUCCACCCUCAUUCCUAAAGCCUAGCCCCUUUCUCACGCAGUUAAAAACUCUUUACUGCCUCCAGCUCAGCCCCACAAUCAACCUCUCCUUCCUCCCACCAAAUCAACACCGCUUAUGACCACCACUUCCACAAAUCGUCAACCCUUCCUCUCAAGCACAAAUAGACCCAACAGACAGUAUUCUCAUCAAGAAUUUUUAGACCUCCGAGCAAAAGGGUUAUGUUAUAAAUGUAAAUAACCUUUUCAUUUGAUGCAUGAAUGCCCUAAUAAGACCCUCCGAGCCUUUAUUAUCGGUGAAGAUGAAGUACCCAACCUUUCUAAUGAUUCUGAAUUUGAGAAGUCUGAAUUAGCGGCUUCAAUGGUAGAAAUCUCUUAUAAAUACCAUUUUUCCCAAAUGAAACUACCAUUCUACUUGGUUGGAGGGAUUUCAUUCCAAAGACAAUGAAAUUGCCGGGAACUAUUCACGGAAUACCCAUCACAGUCAUGGUGGACAGUGGGGCCAGUCAUAACGUUAUCUCUGGUGACUUAGUUUCGAAAUUGCAGUUGAAGGUGGAUAAUACCUUUUGUUUGGAGUUAAAUUAGGUGAUGGUCACAAAGUCCAAACCACUUGUAGAUGCAAGGAUGUUCCUAUCCACAUGGGUGAGUUUCUCCUAAAAGUCGAUUGCUAUAUUUUUCUCUUGGUAGAGUUGAUCUUAUUUUGGGGUGGCUUGGUUGUAAACCUUAGGAGAGGUUACGGCAAAUUGGGGCACUAUGCAAACGUCGUUCUAUCACCAGGACAAACAGAUCACUCUAUCGGGUAAUCCAUAAAUGCUACAAGCUCAAAUUUCUACUCCUCAAGUUCGCAAGUUAACUGCAGUGGAUUAUUGUGUUCUGUUAUGGGACUGUUCUAUUCUAGAAACUACUGAACAAUGGCAUAAUGAGAUUUCUACAGAUCAGCAACAACAGAUGGAUGAGUUGCUUCAGUGUUAUACAGAGUUGUUCAGGGAAUCUUCGAUAUUACCUCCACAUAAACCAACAGACUAUGUUAUUCCCUUCACCCAAGAACUUCAGCAGUAAACAUCAGGCCGUAUAGAUACGGGUACCACCAGAAAGACAAAAUUGAGAAAUUGGUGGAAGAUAUGCUUGCUACUGGAAUAAUUAGACCCCGUUCUAGUCUUUCCUCAAGUCCAGUUUUAUUGGUUCGCAAGAAAGACGGAGGUUGGAGAUUUUGCAUGGACUAUCGAGCUUUAAACCAAGUCACAAUUCCAUGUAAGUAUCCGAUGCCAAUCAUCACUAAAUUAAUGGAUGAACUACAUGGUGCAAAAUAUUUCUCUAAGUUAGACUUGAAGUUUGAAUCUCAUCAAAUUCGAGUUUCAAAAUUAGAUGUUCCUAAAACGGCAUUCCGUACCCACUCUGGCCAUUAUGAAUUUGUAGUCAUGCCUUUUGGGUUGACUAACGCACCAGCUACUUUUCAAGUUACAAUGAAUGAAUUAUUCAGGCCCUAUCUACGACAAGUUAUUCUGGUAUUCUUCGACGAUAUUUUGAUUUACAGUCGAACUUGGGAAGAUCAUAUACAACAUGUACAAAUAGUUAUGCAUUUGCUAGCACAACAUCAAUUUCGAAUUAAUAAGAAGAAGAGCUCUUUCAGGAGAACCAUGAUAGAAUAUUUGGGGCAUGUCAUCUCUGUUCAGGGGUCUCUAUGGAUCAAGCAAAAGUUGCAAGUGUUGUAAAUUGCCCUCAACCUAAGUCAGUAAAAGCGGUGCACGCCUUUCUGGAAUUAACUGGAUACUGUUGACUUAUUUGCUGAUCCUAACUGAUUCUAGGGAUAUAAUUUGAUUUGAUUUGAUUUGAUUAGGAUUCUUAAUUAUCUCUGUAAUUAUUAUUUGAUUAUUUGCUUCCUGUUUAGAUAUAAUUCUUUGUAUAUAAAUAGUCAUAUAAACCAAUUGUAAAGAUUAAGAGUGAAAUACAAGAAUUCUCUAAAUUUUUCCAAAAUUCUUCAUAGUAUCAGAGCCUUUUCCUGAUUUUAGGGUUCAAAUUUAAUUUUUUUCUCUUUAGGGUUUCAAAACCCUAGAUCUACCUUUUUUAGUACUAACCCAUCUAGGAGCCUUUCCUCCUCUCACUGCCGGCACCAGGACUGUCGUCGGCCGAUCGCCUAGCUCCGACGCUGAAAAAGCCCGCACGUGAGGCUCAUGCGCCUCCCUUUCCCGGCGCGUGACCAAUCGCCUGACACUGCUUCACUGCUCCGAUCACUUCGGCGACGAUUCCGACCAUCUUUUCGGCCUUCCCGUGCCGCUACCCGGUCUUUUGGUGAAUCGGUUGGGCUCUCUUGUGUGUACAAUCUUGGGUACCUCCUAUUCUUUCACGGUUCACAAAUCUUUACCAUGGCAGAAGGUAAAAGAGUCUCGAUUCCUAACUCUGUUUCCUCAUCCUCCGGUGUCACAUCUAACUUUGUAAAGUCAGGUAAUGCUUCAUUUCUUAAUAUUGUUCCAUGGAUUAUCGAUUCUGGUGCGAAUGACACAUGACAGGCUCUUCUAAAAGCUUUCUCAAUUAUUUUCCUUCUCUAAUCAAAGAUAUUGUCAGAAUUGCUGAUAGCUCUUUUACUCCCAUAUCCGGAACAGGUUCUGUUAUUUGCACAUCCAAUAUUAAAUUAUCAUCUGUCCUUCGUGUUUUCCACUUUUCUGUCAACCUUUUAUCUGUCAGUGCUAUUACCAAUGCCCUUAAUUGUAAAAUUGAAUUCUUUCCUGAUCAUUGUGUUAUUCAGGAUCUUCGCACAGGAAAGAGGAUUGGUAAUGGUAGGCUGCAUGAUGGCUUAUAUAUGUUGGAGGGUGAUCCAGCUUCUUUGAUAUCUCAAGCCUGUUUUGGAGAAAAUAAGGAUGUCAAUCAGGAAAUAAUACAGUGGCACAGACGGUUAGGGCAUUCAUUAUUUUUUGCCUUAGAAAAACUUUAUCCUAAUUUGUUUGCUAGAACUCAGUUUGAUUCUCUAUUUUGUGAUACUUGUGAGUAUGCUAAACACACUAGAACAUCCUAUCCUUUGAGUCAUAAUAAAAGUCAAAUUCCUUUUGCGACUAUUCAUUUUGAUGUUUGGGGGCCUACUCAAACUGUCUCCUUGUCUGGUAAUCGAUGGUUUGUCACAUUUAUUGAUUGUUGCACUCAAAUGACUUGGGUCUAUUUGAUUAAAGCUAAAAGUGAUGUCUUUUCUUGUUUUCAAUCCUUUCAUAAGAUGGUUUGUACUCAAUUUGAUACUAAGGUGAAAAUUUUGAGAUCUGACAAUGGAAGAGAAUACAUUGAUAGUAGCUUUUCUACUUAUUUGGAGAGUAAUGGGAUAGUACACCAGACUAGUUGUCCUUGUACUAGUGCUCAAAAUGGCGUUGCUGAGAGGAAAAAUAGGCAUCUAUUGGAGGUAGCUCGAUCUCUUAUAUUCACCAUGAAUCUACCCAAAGCAUAUUGGGGAGAUGCAAUUUUUGCAUCUGCUUAUCUUAUCAAUAGAAUGCCUCUCAAGACCCUUGACUUUAUGAGUCCUUUGGCGGUUCUACAAGGGAAAAAUUCAUACGUUGUUCCACCAAAAGUAUUUGGGUGUUUUGCUUUGUCCAUACUAGGACAGUAGGAAAAUUGGAUCCCAAGGCCCUUAAAUGUGUAUUUGUUGGGUAUUCUCCAACACAAGGGAUACAAGUGUUAUCAUCCUCCCUCUAGGAAAUACUUAGUUAGUAUGGAUGUUACCUUCCGAGAAAACUGAACCCCACUUUAGUACCACCCACUCACCUCUUCAGAGGGAGAAUAAUGAGUAAGAAGAGGUGAUCCCGAAUUCUGUGAUUCUGAAUGAUAUGGUUCAACUAGAAAGUUUGACUUCUAGUAGACAGGGGGAGAUGUCCAAUCAGGGAGAGAGAACUGGUCGUUUGGACAAGUCAGAUUUGAGAAGGUAUUCGAGGAGAGACAAGGCAGAUGAAGCCAUUAUACAGUCUACUUAGAGUCAAGAAUCUUCUCCUGGUGAGUUACCCAGUCAUGAAUCUUCUUCUGGUGAGUUACCCACAACUCUUUUUCUGGUGAGUUACCCACAACUCUUUUUCUGGUGAGUUACCCACAACUCUUGAAUGUUUCAAUGACUUAGAUAAACCUAUUGCACAAAGAAAAGGGGUCAGAUCUUGUACUAAACACCCUAUUUCUAAUUUUGUUUCUUAUGAAUCCUUAUCUCCUUCCUAUAGAGCCUUUGCCUUGUCUAUUUCCUCUGUGUCUAUUCCACAGGAUUAGAAAAAAGCUCUUGUAGAUCCUAAAUGGAAGAAAGCAAUGAUUGAAGAGAUGAAAGUAUUGGCUAAAAAUGAGACUUGGGAGCUUGUCACUCUCCCACCUAGGAAGAAACUCGUCGGCUGUAAAUGGGUGUUCACAGUGAAACACAAAGCUGAUAGCACAAUUGAACGGUUUAAGGCCAGAUUGGUUGCUAAAGGAUUCACCCAAACCUAUGGAGUGGAUUACCAAAAGACAUUUGCCCCGGUUGCAAAAAUGAACUCAAUCAGAGUUUUGUUAUCCUGCAUAGCCAACUUGAACUGGGACUUGCAACAGUUUGAUGCGAAGAAUGCUUUCCUCCAUGGAGAUUUAGAGGAAGAAGUGUUCAUGAAAAUUCCUCCUGGGUUCGCUGAUGAGAAGACACAAGAAAAAGUGUGCAGGUUAAAAAAGACUUUGUAUGGGCUAAAACAAUCUCUUAGAGCUUGGUUUAACAGGUUUAGCAGAGUCAUGAUAUCCUUUGAUUACCAACAAAGCAAUGCUGAUCACACUCUAUUGGAAGACAUCCCUUUCAAGCAGUGUAUGGAAGACAUCCUCCAACACUGCAACAAUUUUUACCGAGACUAAAACAGAAACAGUAGCCCAAGAAUUGGUCAUCCGAGAUGAAUUGUUGAGACAAUUAACUUACAAUCUAAAACGGGCUCAACAACAAAUGGCAAGAUCAACUAAUAAGCAUAGAAGAGAUGUUCAAUACAAGGUGGGAGAUUCUGUUUUUCUGAAAUUUAGGUCACACCGCCAGACCACUCUCAAGAAAGUAAUCAAUCCAAAGCUCUCCUUGCUGUUUCGGUGCUUUCCACAUACUGCAAAAAGUUGAAAGUGUAGCGUAUAAGCUACAACUCCCUACUUCUGCAAAAAUACACCCAAUAUUCCAUGUUUCACAACUCAAAAAAGUAGUGGGCAAGUAUCUGGUUCUAUCUGAAUUACCACAAGAAAGGCCAUAGAAGAUGAGUGAAUUGAACCGGAGGAGAUUCUAAAAAUUUAGGAAUUAUUCAUUGAGGGGACUAGGAUAACACAAGUUAUGAUCAAGUGGAAGGGGCAAACAGCAGAUGAAGCCACCUGGAUGAAUCACUAUGACCUUGUCAAUCAAUUUCCAAACUUUAGCCUUGAGGACAAAGCUGAUCUCUUAGGGGACAAUAUUGUUAGCAAAAGCCCAGAAAAGGGAAAAGUGGGCCGUAGAUUCAAUUCACUGAAAGUUUAUUAUAGAAAGAGGCUGAGGAAGAAAGAGGAAGGUUCUUCUAAGUAUUAUUCCAGAAUGGACAGCUGGAAUUAGUUAUAAGGAAUCUGCUGCCAAAUGAUUGGGCGAUGAUUGCAAAUGUUGCAGAUAAAUAAGAGGAGUGGACAAAUUUGUUUUUAUCUUUUCUUCUAUUUUGAUUUGUAAUACAGCUUCCUUGCUGUGGGCCAGUAACAGUUGUUAUUAGCAAUCAUUCUGUACUCCUGUUUUCUGAGGAAUGGCUAUGAAUCAAGUUUUCUCCUUUUUCUUCUAGUCUAUAUUUCAGGUUCUUCACUCUAUUAGAAAUAUUUAGCACCCAAAUGCAAAAUAAUGAUAUCUAUUGCUAAGAAAUCUUAAAUUUAUCAUACUCCGCAGUCAAGACAUUGUGUGUUAGGGCUUCUGGAGUUGGGAUGGAUAAUGAGAAAGCAUAGAAGAAAUAAAGAAUAAAUGAAGGAUAGUAGUCAAAGGAUGAGUGGCAAGGGUGUAAUUAGUUGUAGCUGAUGUAGCAGUUGUAACUUGUAAGUGAACAAGAGAGAGUCAAGUAGUAGGUCGUUAAGGCAGUUAGGUUGUUAUAGAGCUACUGACAGCAGCUAGAAGCUGGUUACUAGCAUAUACUGAGUACGUUAUAUGAAUUCAGUAAUGUGAGCUUGUUAUUCAUUCCUGAAUUAUCAAGAAUAAUAUCUUCUCUUCUAAGUUCUAAUCAGUUCUCAUUCUCAUCUACCUAAAAUCUCUCUGUUUAUACUAUUUCCUUUCUAAUUCUCUGUUAGGGUUUCUGAAACCCUAACAGAAACCAAUACCAUAUAUUAUCCAAGCCUUUCCUUCCUUGGAAUUCGACUGGUAUGCAUAUUUCUUUCUGGAUGAGUUUGUCAUCAG